rnacentral:lncRNA from 1 species
CAGAACCUGCUGGGGCCGAAUCGCCCCCGAUUUGCAGCAGAGAUAAGGAGGUCGCAGCCAUGGCGGAUGGACAACAAACAGCGCUUUAUCUGCACCGCCACCCGCAGUCCACGAUCAAUAUGUGGUCAUCGCUGCUCCGUCCUGCAGGAAGGAUUUGUGAGCUGAGACACUCACGUCCCCCCAGUUCCUGCCUCAGGAGUCCCCAGGUCACACAAGCAGGGAUACGGAAGAAAGAGGAAAAACACUCAAACAGAGUUCACUCCUCAGAGCUACGGUUGUGUGUGCUUUCCUGGAGGCCUGGCAGGAAAACAGACCAAAAGAAAGGGAAAAAAAAAGGCUGGUGCUGGAAACAUCUGGAUUUUUGUAUGUGCAUGGCACCUUGGGAGAGUCUGUUUGUGUUCAUCCAGUAAAUCCAAUACUUCUCCCUGAAAUAUAUGGGAGUGGGAAGUAUGUAUUAAAGAUAACUAUUCCUGUUUAAA